AAGUUAUGUCGUUUCCAUUAGAACGCGUCCCUCAUCCUUUGACGGCGAGGUUAUGUCGUUUCCACUUUCCCUCGCCAAAUGAAACGCUCUGAGUUAAGAUUUCGUGAUUAAUCCACUCAAAUCGCUCCCCCACGAAGUGUAUUCAAAGCAAACUUGAAGUUCAGAAGCGGUGUGAUCUAUGUAUAAAUAGAGAUUCUUCUCCCGAUUUUUGUGUUUCGAUGAAUUGAACUAUGGUUUAGGCUACCAUGAUGCAAACUACCAUCAAUGCUAGCCGGCUUCAGAGAUACCGUUCGAAGCUUGUCGCCGGGAAGAUGUUCUCCCUCUCCGGAUUUAAUGUGUCUCAGGUGUGCUCAGAAUUUCCGGCUCUCCUUUGCUAAUACGGUUUAGUGAGGCCAUAUCCUUUGAUGAGUUAAGUGAACCGGUUUCUCCGUUGCCCAAAGAAUGCUUCCGGUUCCGCGAUCAGACAGAACUGGUCGGAUUAGCUAACACCAAUACACAGUUACCACUUACCAGAGCUGCGGAGUUUAUAGUGUAUAAACUGAAAGAGAUGGGGAAGAUUGAUGAGAAAGAUAUCUCUGGUGGAAGAGUUUGAGCAGCUAGAUUAUGAUGUGUCUAGAACUCUGAAGGCUUCUGACAUCGUGUUAGCUCAGACUACGUCUCACAUCCAAAUGUAAGCCCUUUUGUUAGCAUCAUCCUUCGAAGACGAAUCGGGAUCUUUGCUAAGUUAUAUAUGCGCAGCACCCAGCAACAACAAAAAGCAAAGGAAGUGAACUAUUUUUUUUGGAACUUUUGUAUGUUUCUGUUUGUGCUUUGUAAUGACUCAUUCUCACUCUUUGACUGUUUCUUUAUGCUUGAGUGUAUGAUCUACAGACGUAGAUAUUUCAUUGAUAUACAAACACUGUAAUAAAACUAAAUUUCGUGUUAUUAACCUAUAAUGUAGCUCUGUUUUUCCAUUAA